GCCUGGAUGGCUCAGUUGGUGAAGCUUCUGAUUUUGGCUCAGGUAGUUAUCUCCUGGUUCAUGAGUUAGAGCCCCAUAUCAGGCU
rnacentral:tRNA from 1 species